rnacentral:tRNA from 1 species
CGGGGUGUAGCGCAGCUGGUAGCGCGCUAGUUUUGGGAACUAGAUGUCGUCGGUUCGAAUCCGGUCACCCCGACCA